GACGAACGCUGGCGGCGUGCCUAAUACAUGCAAGUAGAACGCAGUUCCGAACGGGUGAGUAACGCGUAGGGAAAUGCCUGGUAGCGGGGGAUAACUAUUGGAAACGAUAGCUAAUACCGCAUACUACCAGAUGGACAUGCGUUGUAUUAGCUAGUUGGUGGGGCAACGGGUCACCAAGGCCACGAUACAUAGCCGACGUGGGAGGGUGAUCGGCCACACUGGGAAUUGGACACGGCCCAGACUCCUACGGGAGGCAGCAGUAGGGAAUCUUCGGCAAUGGACGGAAGGCUGACCGAGCAACGGCGCGUGAGUGAAGAAGGUUUUCGGAGCGUAAAGCUAUGUUGUAAGAGAAGCGGUAUCGUACCAGAAAGGGACGGCUAACUACGUGCCAGCAGCCGCGGUAAUAC
rnacentral:rRNA from 1 species